AUUGAACGCUGGCGGCAUGCCUUACACAUGCAAGUCGAACGGCAGCACGGGAGCAAUCCUGGUGGCGAGUGGCGAACGGGUGAGUAAUGCAUCGGAACGUGCCCAGUCGUGGGGGAUAACGCAGCGAAAGCUGCGCUAAUACCGCAUACGAUCUAUGGAUGAAAGCGGGGGACCGUAAGGCCUCGCGCGAUUGGAGCGGCCGAUGUCAGAUUAGGUAGUUGGUGGGGGAAAGGCUCACCAAGCCAACGAUCUGUAGCUGGUCUGAGAGGACGACCAGCCACACUGGGACUGAGACACGGCCCAGACCCCUACGGGAGGCAGCAGUGGGGAAUUUUGGACAAUGGGCGCAAGUCUGAUCCAGCCAUUCCGCGUGCAGGAUGAAGGCCCUCGGGUUGUAAACUGCUUUUGUACGGAACGAAAAGGUCUCUCUUAAUACGGGGGACUCAUGACGGUACCGUAAGAAUAAGCACCGGCUAACUACGUGCCAGCCGCCGCCGUAAAAC
rnacentral:rRNA from 1 species